rnacentral:rRNA from 1 species
CGCGUAGGCGGUUAUUUAAGUCGGAUGUGAAAGCCCUGGGCUUAACCUGGGAACUGCAUUCGAUACUGGACGACUAGAGUACGAGAGAGGGAGGUAGAAUUCCACGUGUAGCGGUGAAAUGCGUAGAUAUGUGGAGGAAUACCAGUGGCGAAGGCGGCCUCCCGGCUCGAUACUGACGCUGAGGUGCGAAAGCGUGGGGAGCAAACA